UAUCGGCCAAUCGCCUUGAGUUGAUCAUGGCUCAGAAUCACGCUGGCGGCGCGCUUACACAUGCAAGUCGGACGAGAAAGGGGAGCAAUCCCUGAGUAAAGUGGCGUACGGGUGAGUAACACGUGGGUAAUCUACCUUUUGGUGGGGAAUAACCCUGGGAAACCGGGGCUAAUACCGCAUAAUCUCAUUAUUAUCAAGAUGGUGAGGAAAGGAGCAAUUCGCCGAAAGAGGAGCCCGCGGCUGAUUAGCUAGUUGGUGAGGUAAAGGCUCACCAAGGCAAUGAUCGGUAGCCGGCCUGAGAGGGCACACGGCCACACUGGCACUGAAACACGGGCCAGACUCCUACGGGAGGCAGCAGUGGGGAAUCUUGCACAAUGGGGGAAACCCUGAUGCAGCGACGCCGCGUGAGCGAUGAAGCCCUUCGGGGUGUAAAGCUCUUUCGGCAGGGACGAUAAUGACGGUACCUGAAGAAGAAGCUGCGGCUAACUACGUGCCAGCAGCCGCGGUAAUACGUAGGCAGCGAGCGUUGUUCGGAGUUACUGGGCGUAAAGAGUGCGUAGGCGGUUUUCUAAGUUUGGUGUGAAAUCUCCCGGCUUAACUGGGAGGGUGCGCCGAAAACUGGAAGGCUUGAGUAUGGGAGAGGUAAGCGGAAUUCCUGGUGUAGCGGUGAAAUGCGUAGAUAUCANGAGGAACACCUGCGGUGUAGACGGCUUACUGGACCAUAACUGACGCUGAAGCACGAAAGCGUGGGUAGCAAACAGGAUUAGAUACC
rnacentral:rRNA from 1 species